CCCCAACAAAUUUAAUCGAUGAAUUUUGGACCUGAGAUGCAUAAAACAUUUUGAGCAACACAGAUCAAUCUGUGCACCUGGCAUUCAUGCCCGAAAGUAAACAUUAAUGAAUGCUUCAGCGGAAGCGUGAGAGUGUUCAGAAAAAGAAUGGGUCAACAGUCACAGUCGAAUCGGUGAUCAGUAUAUUGAUAUGCAGGAUGGCAAAAAUCUAAUAAACUGUAGGAAGUAUUAUCCGUGGAGCGUCUGCUACUGCCUGUCAUAAAAUGCGUAUUCACUGCGUCGAAAUUAUAUCCUGCGCUGCAGUUCCUACGUGAUCAGCGUGUCCACCUUGAGAACAUUUGUUCACACGACAUCGUGGACGGUACAAAACAAAAGGAGAUACAAAAGGAAGAAAUCGACAAUUAAGAGACAAAAUCCAAUAAGGAUGCGCUGGUACUUUGUGGUCAGAUGAGAACUGUCGGUUACCCCAAUGUGAACGUUCGCAAUUUCACCAUCUGCGAGUUGGUUUGGUACUUAAUGCAAUCAUACACAAACACCGACCGUAUCUGGCUCAGUUUGAUAAGCUGACAAAAACAAUCCGAUUCAACACCUGAACAAUGCAUUCAAUGUGGCCGAGGGGAAGCUAGGCCUGACCAACUGCUAGACGCGGAGGAUGUUUUUGGCAAGCAUCCAGAUGAGAAAUCCAUCAUCACAUACUACCACUACUUCAGUAAACUGAAGCAAGAUGUGCAAGGUAAACGUAUUGGAAAGGUAGUCGGUAUCGCAAUGGAUAAUGCCCUAUGAUCAGUGAGUAUGAAUCACUAUCGAGUGAACUUCUGAAAUGGAUACAAUCGUCCAGCUUGGUGAUCGGAAAAUUGCCAACUCGCUCGUCGGUGUGCAGCAGCAGUUGGCACAGUUUUCCAACUACCCAAAUUUGUGUAAAAAAGCAAUCUGGAAGUGCUGCUUUUCACGCUGCAAUCCAUAAUGAUGGCAAACAAUCAAAAGCCUGACGGCGCCAGUGGUUGUAUGGUUAGCGUAACAGCCUCACAAUCCGAUCGGCCUGGGUUCAAUCCCAGCUGGCGUCGUUGGGAUUUUCUGAGGCGAAAAAUCUCUGGUUACGUCUUCCUUCGGAGCGGAAGUAAAAGAAGUUGGCCCGGCUCAUGAGUUGUUGAGUCUGAUAGGUAGGAACAGGUGGAGUCGCCUCCCUGAUGUCGGUGAUUGGCACUAAAGUGGCGGAAAUAGGCCGACGAAAAAUAAGCGAAGAUAAAAAAAAAAAAAAAAAAAUCAAAAGCCGUACACACAUAAAGAGGGGAAAAAUGAUUCCCGACAUCAACAGAGCAUGGAAGCGUUUGGAGAAAUCUGAACACGAACGUAAGCUAACCUUUCGAAAGGAGCUGAUCCAACAGAAGAAGCUCGAAGUUUUUACCGCAGGGCAACCAUGAGAGAAAUCUGGCUUUCAGAAAAUCAACGUUUGGUCAGUAUCGAUAAUUUCGAAUUCGAUCUGGCUGCAGUGGAAGCAACCGCCAGAAAGCAUAAAGCGCGAUUCACAUACAACAUCCACGUCACGUUGCGUCAAUUAUUCUUCCAUGCAAUUCCUAUUGAAGCAUUCACAUACACCAGCAACAGCAAGUCGAAGUUGCCGUUGCCGGUAUAUGUGAAUGUUUGCAUAAGAACAGCUUGGAAUAAUUGACGCAACGUGAACGUGACGUGGAUGUUGUAUGUGAAUCGCACUUAAGGCUAUCGAGACCAACAUUUUCAGGCUGUGGUGACUAUCUGGAACGAGCUGGAAGUUGAACGUUACCACGAUAUGGAGCGAAUUGCAUUUCUCAAAGAAAAUGUGUUGCGACUUUGGAACUACUUGCUGAAGUUGCUGCGCGCUAGAAGAAUGCGACUGGAAUUCUCCAUUCGCUUGUAGCAGAAAUUCUAGUUAUAUAGUCUAGCAAUAUCCCAGCAAACAUUAAAUCGUAUAACUUUGCACAUGAUAAGUUACAUAUCAUUUCGUAUCAAAUCACAAUCGCAUAAAAUAUCAAUCAAAAUAUCGAUCAUAUAUAUCUGAAAUCGCAUAAAAUGCAAAAACAGGAUUUUCCAUGUCAUCGAUGGAUUGAGUGGUAACGUUGUCGUAUCAAAUCGCAUAUCAGUCCAGAAAGCAUCGCAUAUCGUUAUAUACGGCUUUAUAUACGUACAAAAUAUGGCAUAUACGUAUAUCGCCUCCACUUUUGUGUGUAUAUGCUAGUUAUCUGCAUCAUAUAUCAUACAAAUGUGUCUUGGUUGUAUGUAUAUCGCCUCCAAUUAUAGCUAUUCAUACGACUUAAUGUUUGCUGGGAUAGUUGUUUCCGUGAUUCUAAAAAGGAACUGUAGCGACACGAAACUGUCUCAACGUCAAUGCAAGUCGCUAACCGGCAGGAAUUACUUUCCGCAUUUGUGUAUCCUGUUUUUUAAUCAACGGAGUUACCAACCGGAUAAGAUAAUCAAAAUCUACAGACGCUACAGAAGUUCUUAUAUAACUUAUAUAUGUUCUAAUAAAUAUAACUAUAACGGAACGGUGUUUGUUCUCUUGGUCUAUCCUCCUCAAUUAUCAUAGCUGCAGUGGACAGAGCUACAGCUAUAGCGCCAUAUGAUGCU